rnacentral:rRNA from 1 species
AAAGAUGAGCAUGCGUCCCAUUAGUUAGUUGGUAAGGUAACGGCUUACCAAGACGAUGAUGGGUAGGGGUCCUGAGAGGGAGAUCCCCCACACUGGUACUGAGACACGGACCAGACUCCUACGGGAGGCAGCAGUGAGGAAUAUUGGACAAUGGGCGCAAGCCUGAUCCAGCCAUGCCGCGUGCAGGAAGAAGCAUCUAUGGUGUGUAAACUGCUUUUGUACAGGAAGAAACACUCCCUCGUGAGGGAGCUUGACGGUACUGUAAGAAUAAGGAUCGGCUAACUCCGUGCCAGCAGCCGCGGUAAUACGGAGGAUCCAAGCGUUAUCCGGAAUCAUUGGGUUUAAAGGGUCCGUAGGCGGUCUAAUAAGUCAGUGGUGAAAGCCCAUCGCUCAACGAUGGAACGGCCAUUGAUACUGUUAGACUUGAAUUACUGGGAAGUAACUAGAAUAUGUAGUGUAGCGGUGAAAUGCUUAGAUAUUACAUGGAAUACCAAUUGCGAAGGCAGGUUACUACCAGUGGAUUGACGCUGAUGGACGAAAGCGUGGGGAGCGAACAGGAUUAGAUACCCUGGUAGUCCACGCCGUAAACGAUGGAUACUAGCUGUUGGGCGCAAGUUCAGUGGCUAAGCGAAAGUGAUAAGUAUCCCACCUGGGGAGUACGUUCGCAAGAAUGAAACUC